ACUGUCGGCCCUGCAGCAGUCGAGAGAGGAGGAUAAGGGGAGUGCCUGUCAUGGCGUAGCAGAAACGAAUCCAACCAGGAACCAUGAGGUUGCAGGUUCGAUUCCUGGCCUCGCUCAGUGGAUUAAGGAUCAUCUGGCGUUGCCAUGAGCUGUGGUAUAGGUUGCAGCAUUUGGAGAUUCCUGGGCCAGAGAGUGAAUUGGAAUUGGAACUGCAACCUGUGCCACAGCUGCAGCAAAACCAGAUCCCUAACCCACUGCGCUGGGCCAGGGAAUUGAACCGACACUGAACCAGUGCCUCCUAAUAGACAAGCUUGAUCAUUAACCCACUGCCCUACGCAGGAGCUCCUUAAUUGCAUAAGAAAGUUUCCUGGCCAGGGAUCAAAUCCAUGCUGGAGCUGCAACUUGUGCCACAGCUGGGGCAAAGCCAGAUCCCUAACCCACUGCUCUGGGCCAGGGAUUGGACCAGAUUGAACCAGUGCCUCCUAAGAGACAAGCCUGAUCAUUAACCCACUGCCCAAGAGUGGGAACUCCUUAACUGGUAAAAUCUUUAGCACAAGUGUACAUGCAACGUUUGGGAUAUACGUAUAUUUUUUAAAGUUAUGUAUUUUCAUACAUUAGACAUUUAUUAGCAUUAACUUAUAAGUAAUUUAUUUGAAAUAAAGAACAAGUGUUUACUUUUUUUUUUGGCUGCACCUCUAGCACAUGCAAGUUCCUGGGCCAGGGAUAGAAUCUGGGCAGCAGUGUGGCAACACCAGAUCCUUAACCUACUGUACCACAGUAGGAACUCCUUUUUACUAUUGUUAUUUAGAAAAUAAUUUAAAACAUUUUUUUUGGUCUUUUUGUCUUUUAGGGCCACACCCGCAGCAUAUGGAGGUUCCUAGGCCAGGGAUAGAAUCGGAGCUCCUGCUGCUGGCCUACCCCACAGCCAUAUCAAGGUGGGAUCUGAGCCAUGUCUGCGACCUACACCACAGCUCACGGUAACACCAGAUCCUUAACCCACUGAGUGAGGCCAGGAAUUGAACCCACAUCUUCAUGGAUCCUAGUCAGGUUUGUUACUGCUGAGCCAAGAUGGGAACUCCAAUAAAUUUUUAAUACUUAUGAUGAAAAUUUUAAUUAAAGUAUAGCCCAUGCAAUAUUUGGGCUAUACUUUAAAAAUUUAUGGAUUGUCACACCUUGGAAACAUUAUUAUUAUUGUUGUUACCUAAUAAGUAAUAAACGCUUAUGUUAUUAAAAAUAAGUAUUAUUUAUUUAAGAAUUUUAUUUAAUGAAUAUUUUAUUAUUACUAUUUUCUUUUUUUGGUCCAAUUUGUGGCAUAUAGAAGUUUCUUAGCCAGGGAAGGGGCAAUUCCAAUCCCCCUAAUUGUGACUUACACCACUGCUGUAGCAAUGCCAGGUCCUUAACCCACUGUGCCACAGUGGGUACUCCUUAGUGAUUUUUUUUUUUUUUUUUUUUUUUUUUUUUUUUACACCAGAGCCACAGCAACGUGGGAUCCGAGCCGCGUCUGCGACCUACACCACAGCUCACGGCAACGCCGGAUCCUUAACCCACUGAGCAAGGGCAGGGACCGAACCCACAACCUCAUGGUUCCUAGUCGGAUUCGUUAACCACUGCGCCACGAUGGGAACUCCCUUAGUGAAUAUUUUAAUAAAAAACAAGGAUUGACGUUUAGAAAAUGCUGAGACUUGGAGUCAGUCUCUGGCCUUGGAAAAUCCAUAUGCACCGAAUGCAGCCAAAAAAAAAUUACUUGGUCAAUAAAAUAUGUUAAUAAAAAUAUAUUCAUUAUUAAUAUUUAGAAAAUUCUAUUUUUACUAAUUUAAAAUUCAUUACAAGUAUAUACCAUGCAGUAUUGGGGAUGUAUUUAUACUAAAACUUCUAUGUAUUUUCAUAUAUGAGAAGCAUUAAUCUAUGUUACCUAGUAAUAAACGCUUAUGUUAAUGAAUAUUGUUUACCUAUUAAAACUAAGUGAAUAGUGAAUAUUUUAAUAAAGAACAAGUGUU
ensembl:lncRNA